AUUGAACGCUGGCGGCAUGCCUUACACAUGCAAGUCGAACGGCAGCACGGGUGCUUGCACCUGGUGGCGAGUGGCGAACGGGUGAGUAAUACAUCGGAACAUGUCCUGUAGUGGGGGAUAGCCCGGCGAAAGCCGGAUUAAUACCGCAUACGAUCUACGGAUGAAAGCGGGGGACCUUCGGGCCUCGCGCUAUAGGGUUGGCCGAUGGCUGAUUAGCUAGUUGGUGGGGUAAAGGCCUACCAAGGCGACGAUCAGUAGCUGGUCUGAGAGGACGACCAGCCACAUUGGGACUGAGACACGGCACAGAUGCCUACGGGAGGCAGCAGUGGGGAAUUUUGGACAAUGGGCGAAAGCCUGAUCCAGCAAUGCAGAGGGUAUGAAGAAGGCCUUCGGGUUGUGAAGCACUUUUGUCAGGAAAGAAAUCCUUGGCCCUAAUACGGUCGGGGGAUGACGGUACCGGAAUAAUAAGCACCGGCUAACUACGUG
rnacentral:rRNA from 1 species